AAAAAAAAAAAAAAAACCUACGCUGGAAUUCUCUCCCCAAAUGUAGUCCCUUUAAGCAUGAAAAUAGAUGGUGGAGAUGAGAAGCUGUUCAUGGAUUCACUGCCUCCACACAAGUAUUUCCUCCCAGUUUCUGCUCAACGUCCAGGGCUGUGCAUGACCCAGUUCCACCCCUCUGGUCUGUGUCCUUUAGCUGCUGGUGAAGCUGUUGAGGAGUUUCCCAGCCACCUGAACCUGAAGGUUAAAUAUUUGCAUCAAACAAAUGGCAUUUGUCUCACAACUUCAGUAACUUGGUUACCACAUUUCCCAAGUACUAGCUGGGGUGCAGUGUGUCCUUGACAAACAGGGUGUGAAGUAGGUAUUAUUGCUCAUAUACUAGGUAUGAAUAUUUUUUAUUUAUUAUUUGUAUUGCUGUAGAACUUAGGACCCCUAGUCAUGCCAGGACCCUGCUGAACUAGGCACUGUGCAAGCAAACAGCAAAGAAACUUUCUGCUCAAGAAUUUAAUGUCUGAAGGUUCUUAAAACUUGGUUUGGGCAAGAUUUCCUCACUAUUUCCAGGCCCUACAAGCUUCAAAAUUGUAACCCAUUGGAGCUGUAGGAAAGGUGAUGUACGUACACAGAAACCUGUUCUGACACCUGUAAAGAGAAGUGUUAGCCCAGCACAGCAACUUCUCUUCUUAAGCAAAAUAGCUUUUGUUUUAUUCUGCAAAAAUGCCUGUGCAAGUCUCCUUCUCUAAAACAAACACCAGAUGUGUUUUGCCACGGUUCUGGAUCUCAUUCUGACUUCUUAGCAGCUAAGAAAUUGCUUUUCUGAAAAAGUAUGUUUAAGUAGUUAAUCACCAAGGUCUGCAGGGUAAUCUUGGGGGAGAAAUAAUUGAAUGAACAAGACUUUACAAUAAUUAGUAUUUCAAUUUAGCCAUUUAUUUAUCUUGAGGGUGUGGGAUAUGAGGUUGCUGUGUGUGUAAAUUAGAUGCUGGGGUGUAAGAUUCUUCAAAUUCAGACUUGCUAAAAGAUAGACUGAAGGUAAGAGUUGAAGGAAACUCCAACUUUCUUAUCACCCUGUAGUUUUCCACCCUCAGGUAAAUCGUCAGAGGCUGCUGGGAGCUCGGUGCUGCCCAUGCCUAGCACAGAGCAUUCCAGAUGUUCAGAAUGCUUUGCUAAUUCCGUCUAUGAAUUCAAAAGGCACCUCUGCUUCAUGGUCAUUCUUUCUUCAAUAGUCACACCCUCACCUUGACCAGGAGGGAUGGAAAUGAAAUCUGGCAAAAGCAGCUCUAGACUCAGACACACCAAACCAUUGUCAUGCACCAGGACCUGCACCAGCCCAGGGAAGGAUGUUUAGUGUUUCCUCAGUACCCCUCUUGAUAAGCAAAGGAUGCUGAACCACCUGGGGUUUUUCUAAGGAGCUUUGGAUUCUUGCCUUUAAUAUCAUGAAGGUCUUAACUGAUCCUGAACCACCUUCUCACUGGAGCCUCUGUGCUGUUUCUGGUUGGUCCUUUCUGUUCCUGC